rnacentral:rRNA from 1 species
GACGAACGCUGGCGGCGUGCUUAACACAUGCAAGUCGAACGGGAUCCAUGUUGUAGCAAUACUUCGGAAGAUCUAGUGGCGAACGGGUGAGGAACACGUGAGAAACCUGCCCCGAACUUAGGGAUAACAGUUGGAAACGACUGCUAAUACCGAAUACCUCUUCGAAGUGGCAUCACUUUGCAAAGCAAGAAUUUCGGUUCGGGAGGGUCUCGCGGGCUAUCAGCUAGUGGGUGGGGUAACGGCCUACCAAGGCAUCGACGGGUAGGGGUUCUGAGAGGAAGGUCCCCCACAUUGGAACUGAGACACGGUCCAAACUCCUACGGGAGGCAGCAGUGAGGAAUAUUGGUCAAUGGGCGGAAGCCUGAACCAGCCAAGUAGCGUGCAGGAUGACGGCCCUAUGGGUUGUAAACUGCUUUUAUACAGGAAUAAAGUUAGCCACGUGUGGUUAUUUGUAGGUACUGUAUGAAUAAGGACCGGCUAAUUCCGUGCCAGCCGCCGCCGUAA